rnacentral:rRNA from 1 species
GACGAACGCUGGCGGCGUGCCUAAUACAUGCAAGUCGAACGCAGUGGGGACGGGUUCGUAACACGUGGCUAACCUCCCAUCAGAGGGGAUAACACUUGGCAACAGGUGCUAAACCGCUACUGAUGUAUGAACCCGCGGUGCAUUAGCGAGUUGGUGGGGUAACGGCUCACCAAGGCGACGAUGCCUAGCCGGCCUGAGAGGGUGACCGGCCACACUGGUACUGAGACACGGCCCAGACUCCUACGGGAGGCAGCAGUAGGUAAUCUUCAACAAGGGACGAAAGACUGACCGAGCAACGCCGCGUGAGUGAAGAAGGUGUUCGGAUCGUAAAACUCUGUUGUGAGAGAAGCGGUAUCUAACCAGAAAGCCACGGCUAACUACGUGCCAGCAGCCGCGGUAAUUC